AGCAGCAGCUUCUUCUUCCCUAUUUCAUACACACGACGCCAAACAGAUUGGGGAGGAAGGAAAACUCCAUAACCCUCAUCAAAUCUUCUCAUUACCAUAACUUUUCCGUUCGAGCUCCGAUUGCCGCACCGUUCGCGGCCACGCGUCGAGCUCUACAUUUCUGUCGGAUCAAUUUCACCGGUUCGAUCUAGCUUCCAGAACUUAUUGGGCUUGAGUUAUUAUGCGUAUGGGUACGAUGCAGGUCGAGAGGCUCCUCGCUAGGCGUCUGGAUCUUGAAGCGGAGUAGUCCCUGGGUUGUUUUGGGUUUUAUGAUUGUAUAUAUAUGUACCUAUGUAUCUAGCUUGCUCUCCGAGAAACUUGCUUAUUUUGCUCCUCAUAGAGGUUGAUGGAGAGAUAGGGCCUUAUUUUGUAUUUUGUGUAUUUUGGGAUACCUAUAUAUGUAUAUAUAUAUACCC